CACAAAAACUUCACAGAUCAUAUCUAUGAUGCUCUAAAUCGAAGUGGAAUUAUCACUUUCAGGGAUGAUCCAAAGAUGGAUGUCUGUGAAGAGAUCGCACCACAACUCUUCCGAGCCAUUCAACAAUCGUGGUGCUCGGUAAUUGUUUUUUUAGGAACCUAUGCCUUUUCAAGUUGGUGCUUGGAGGAGCUUGCUGAGAUAGUUAAACAAAAAAAACGAGACAGGACAUAAAGUGUUUCCAAUUUUCUACGUUGUGAAUCCAUCUGAUUUAAGAAAACAGAAAGAAAAAGUUGAAGAAGCGUUUGCCAAACAUGUAGAGAGAUACAAGGAAGAUAAAGAAAAGAUUCUAAGGUGGCGAAAUGCUUUGACUCAAGUGGCUAACGUCAAAGGAUGGCAUUUAAAUAACAGGCAUGAAUCAGAGUUUAUUGGAGAUAUUGUUAGAAAAAUAUCAGCAAAAUUAUGUCAGACAUAUCCAAUUGUUCAUGAUGAGUUGGUUGGAAUUAGUUCACGCUUGGAGGAGUUGCAUUCAAAAAUAGAGAUUGGGGAAGAUGACAUCCGCAUCAUAGGAAUUUGCGGAAUGGGUGGCAUCGCUAAAACAACUCUCACAAGAGUUGUUUACGCCCAAAUGUCAUCUCAUUUUGAAGGUAAAUGCUUCAUUGCUGACGUUCGAGAAGUUUCAGACAAAUUUGGACUCGUUUCUCUACGGAAACAACUUCUUUUCCAGAUCUUGUCUGGUGAAGUCUUCGAAUUUUUCAAUGUUCAUGAAGGGAAUGCCAUAAUUAGCCACAUAUUAUCUAACAAAAAGGUCCUUGUGAUUGAUGAUGUGGAUAAUUUACAGCACUUGAAAUGCUUGGUUGGAAGGCAUGAUUGGUUCUGUUUAGGGAGUAUAAUCAUUAUAACAACAAGAGAUGAACACUUGCUCUAAUCUUACCGAGUUGAUGAUGUGUAUAAGCCUUCAACAUUGAAUGACAGUGAGGCACUUCAACUUUUCAGUAUGAAAGCUUUUGAUAGUGAGACAGCACCAAAUGAUGUUUUCAUUGAGCUUUCUGAACAUGUUGCAAAAUAUGCCAGUGGUCUCCCCUUAGCUCUUGAAGUCUUGGGUUCUUUUUUGUGCGGUAGAGAUGUAGCUCAAUGGAGAAGUGCAAUCCAAAGACUUGAAAAGGAUUCUAACGAAGAGAUUAUGGACAGACUUCGAAUUAGCUUUGAUGGAUUGGAAGAAGCAGAGAAGAACAUAUUUCUAGAUAUAACAUGGUUCUUCAAUGGGGACGAGAAAGAUUUUGUAAUGAAAGUAUUGGAUGGCUGUGAGUUUUUCCCGGAUAUUGGAAUCGAUGUUCUCAUUAAGAAGUCUCUACUAACAGUUGACGAAAACAACAAAUUGUGGAUGCAUAACUUACUACAAGAAAUGGGAAGAAGAAUUGUUCGGGAAAAAUCUAUUGAGGAGCCUGGAAAACGUUGUAGAUUGUGGGAGGAAAAUGAUGUAUAUCACGUGCUAACGAAGAACACUGCUACGGAAGUGAUUGAAGGCAUGAUCAUUGACAAUAAAAGGAUAUCCAACAAGAUGCUCAAUUUGAAUGUUAAUGUUUUCUCGAAGAUGAAAAAAUUGAGAUUGCUCAAAGUCCUUUGCCUCUCAAAUUGUGAUGAACUCAAAUAUUUUCCUAAUGAGUUACGGCUCUUAGAUUGGUUGGGAUACCCUUUAAGAUUCUUACCUCCAAGCUUCCAACCAGACAACCUUGUUGCACUUCUGCUACCAUACAGUCGCAUUGAACAACUAUGGAGGGGAAAUACGCAGCCCCUGUAUAAGUUGAAAGUGCUCAACCUAAAGGGUCCGACAACCUGAUCAAGACACCGGACUUUACAACAGCCCCAAAUCUGGAAAUUUUGAUAUUGGAAGGUUGUACAAGAAUAGUAGAUGUUCAUCCAUCAGUCGGAGUUCUUUCAAGGCUUAAACUUCUGAAUUUAAGAAGCUGCACAAGUCUUAGGAAUCUUCCAACCAAAAUUGGAAUAGAAUCUCUUGAAACAUUAAUCCUAAAAGAUUGUAGAAACCUUAUUAGUCUCCCAAGCAGCAUUGGUGGGUGUAAAUGUCUAAAAACUCUUGAUCUUUCAGGUUGCUAUAAAGUUGAAAAUUUGCCGGAGAAUUUGCAGCAAAUAGAGUUGUUGGAAGACCUCGACUUAAGUGAAACUGCCAUAGCAAAACCGCCAUCCUUCAUUUUUCAACUUAAAAAUCUUAAAGUUUUGUUUUUGAAUAGGCUCAAGAUAUCAUCAUCUAAGUUAGCACCAAAUCUACCUUCUCUUUUCCAGGUACUGUCAGGUUUGAUUUCAUUAAGAGAGCUGAAACUAAGGAACUGCAAUCGUCGUGAAGGAGAUAUUCCAAGUGAUAUUCAUUGUUUACCCUAUUUGGAAAAGCUUGAGCUAGGUGGUAACAAUUUCAUCAGCGUACCUGUGUCUGUUAUUAGAUUUCCCAGUCUUCAAUAUCUUGGAUUGUCAAAUUGCAGGGAGCUUAAAUCGUUUCCUAGUCUUGGUGCUUGUCUAGAACUAUUUGCAACUCCAUCAAAGGUUUGCAAUGCAGUGGAUUUGACACGGUUUAAUGGUCUUCACUGCUACAAAAUAGUUGAGAAUAUCAAUGCAUUAACAAUGCUGAAAAUCUUUCUUAAGAUAGUUGUAUGUUUAAGAAAAAGUUUUGAUGUUGUUAUGCCCGGAGGUGAAAUCCCAAAAUGGUUUAACCAUCAAACAGUUUGCUCUUCAAUCAAGAUACCACUGCCUAACAAUAUUCAGAAUGAUAGUCAAUGGAUGGGAGUUGCUUUCUGCUGCAUUUUUGUCAAUGAUGAUGCUUCAAGGGAUGAGGAACUCACAUGUGAUGCUGUUAUCCAUCAUAGGAAUUCUGGACAAGCUGAUUCUGAUGGAUCUGGUUUUCGGGGUAGAAAUCCUCGACGUGUCUCAGGGGACGGCCGGAUUUUUUCUAAAGAAUAUAACCAGCCCAUAAUAAAGGACCACCUUUAUUGUUGUUUUUUGUUCCGUGAAAGAUUAUAUCCAUUUUCCUUUGAGGAUUAAUGUGGUGAUAGUGAAACUGAGAACUCAUCAACAUUGGAUUGCUCAAAUCAGGAAUUUGAUGAACUCCAGUUUUCAGUCACAUCCGAUGAUAGUCACAUAAGUGUUAAGGUGAAGAAAUG